CUCCGUCCCCAAUCCAAAGCUCUCAGCCUGACAGCCUCUCACAGUCGCGCUCUCCUCUCACGGUCUCACUCUCCUCUUUGCAGUGGCGCUCUCCUCUCACGGCGGCGAACCCACGUUCCUCCCAGUCUCCCACCAUGUUCUUCGCGGACAACAGAACCAUGAAGCCCCAGCCAGCAGUAGCAGUCUAGCAGAGCACGACCCUUAUUCUUCGCACCCAGCGCUAGCAGUAGCAGAGCACGACCCUCGCAGUCUCGCACCCAAUAGAGCACCACCCUCGCCAGUCGCCACCCACAACACAGCACCCACCAGUCACCGAUUCAAGUCUCCCACUCAGUCAUUGAUUCAACACAGCAUCCAAUCAGAUCUCAAUUAACUUAGAACAAUUUGAUUGUUUGCCUCUUUCACCUGUGCUUAGUGGUUCCACCCUGUUUUUGUAAACAGAAUACUUUUUUACUUCACCAAGAUGUGGUUCGGUUUCAAAUAGGUGAGGUCUUUGCACAUGUGCCAAAGGAUGAAGUUGAGAAUAGGAUAGAAAAUAUGAAAGAGGUGACAAGCCAGAAACUGACAAAGCUUGACGAGGAGAAACAAUCUGUGGUUGCUUAGAUGGCUGAACUGAAGAAGAUUUUGUAUGGGAAGUUCAAGGACUCGAUCAAUCUCGAGGAGGAUAGUAGCCUUCUUCUUGUUCAUAGAUCUUUCUGGGUUGAUUUGAACUCUAUUGGACUUUGGAAAUUUUUCAAUCAGAUUGCCCCAUGUUUUAUUUCAUUUCAUGUUUAGAGUAUUUUCUUGCUUGAACUCUAUUGUUCUCUUUAUUAUUAGAAUAUAUAACUAGAUUAGAAUAUUUUUCUACUAGUCUUAUAUUAUUAUUAUUAUUAUUGUUGUUGUUGUUGUUCUUAUUAUGUAACUACUUUUUGAUU